UUACUCUGGAACGCCCAGGGCUUACAAAUCGAUACCAGAUAAAAUCUAGCCAUUCGACCCAAGUCGAUUCCCUACGCUCGUCCAGGCUAAACCAAUCGAGCUCGGAACCAGGAGAACGGUUCAGCCGCGAAUGUAGGUGUUUGUAUAUAUUAAAUAUAACACUAAUGCAACGCCUAUUUAAUAUUACAACAAAACACUGAAAUGUUAAAUGGAUUCCAUCAACAGCAUAUUUGAAAAGACUGGAAGUUUCCUCUUUUACGUCGAAGUACGGCACAGGCAUGUUGAUCAAGAGGGAACACCAGUGAAUGUGAUGGAUGAAAUUUCUUGUAGCGCCACCUGGUACAAAAAUCUGUUGAGAAAGUUUACGCGAAUAUUUGGAUUUUGACUAGACUAGCCACCGUAAAAAACCCAUCUAAACAGAACUAACGUUUGUUAUAAUUCAUAAUAUUUUGCCAUUGUUCUGUGGUCUAAUCCGACAUUAAGAACAUUGAAAUACCGAUGAGAUGAAACCACGAUCUUUUUGUUAGGAUGAAAAUUUUAUGUGUACAUUAUGGUGAAAUUCAGUUUAUUAAUUAAACAUAAGGAGUGUUGCACUAUCAGCUGUGUGGAUGAAUGUGUUUGCUCUUGUCUAAACAGAUCCCCAGGUUGGUUCAGUUUUGUGUCCUUAUGAGUGUGAGUCAGCACUUGUCAGCCAGGGUGGAUCACUGCAUAGCCUAACCUAGGCUAUAGCCUAGGGCCGCAGCAAACAUCAAGACCCGCCCCACCUUGGGAAAAAUAGAACGGUUAGUUAAAUCGGCAGCACCUGAAUCCAUGCUGAUGUCAGCCUAGGACCGCCAGUUUGACCCUCUCACGGAUGCUGCGGCCUCGGCCGUCUAAUGAAUCAAUCUUCUGUGUCCACGGAGGCAUCCACGCCAAUGAAAUGCUUCUUCUUUGGGUGAAGGGGCUGCCUUUGGAGGGCUUGCAACCCAGGCUGUGGGGUGAGGUUACGUGGGGUCAUUUCCACUGUUUUACCAGACCACACUGUCUUCCAUUGGACAGCGAUGUAUAAAACAUAAAAUGCAACAAAAUCCCAGAUUCAUAAUUCCCAUGAACACACAGUCGAAUGUAAACUCUGUGCAGUGACGGCAUGCAGUUGCAGGUAAUGCUGCUGCAAAUGCAAGAGUAACACGCUGCUGAAAGACUGCCCCCAGACCCAUUUCCUAAAUGCCUGGUCAUUGCUAAAGUGUUGAUUUGAGUUCAUAUAAAUACUGUGUAUGAAUAUACAGUGUUUUUAUAUUUAGGUUUGGCUCAGGGCUGGGGGAAAGCACAGCAGUAAAUAGAGUUGCUUAGUGCCUUAAGAGUUUCCUGUAAACGAAGUAUCUCAUUUGUAUUCAGAUCCUGUCCUGUCACAGCUGUUCAACGCCAUGUACAAUAAAACACUGGAAGAAUGAGGUGCAGGAUGGUCUGUAUCUGUUCACACUGGCUACAAGCUCCAGUGAGCAUUAACACUGGGGGGUGGAAGAGAUACUGAAGGAGAGAGAUAAGACGUACAAGACAGGCUUUAAAGAGCGAGAGAGAGAGUGAUGUCUGAUUCAGCACAAGGCAAAAUGAAUGGUUCCGGACUGGUGAACACAGCUCACACCAUUUAUGGCCACUGAGACACCCCCACGCCAGCACUGCCCUAACUUUGCCUCUUUUUCCACUCAGCUACUUGUCUAACCAGCCAGCAGCAGAGUGAUCACGCAGCCAAGUGCCCGGCCAGCCGACCGACCGACCGACCGACCGACCGACACGGUACAGCAAAGAUGCAGCCGCACGCUGACGUCACCGAGAGCCCUUGCAUGGCAAUCCAAUUUAUUGAACUACAGAUGCUCGGUUAUACAAAAUUGCACCACUUUUAAUUAAGGCUUUUUAGUUAACAUUUGGCCACCUCAAAAAGCAGACGCUGCAUUUCAAACGAUGUGACUCUGCACGCGGACUGAGAGACUGUUUUCACAUCCAGGAGUUUGCUUCAAUGCAUACAUAGCGACAAGGCAUUCUUUAAAUUAUUCAGCAGAAGUCACGAAAAGAGAAAGAAGAAAAGAAAAAAAAAACACCAAAACAAACUUGCAACUUUCUCCCCCUCCCA